ensembl:ncRNA W01H2.8 ncRNA
CCGUCUUAAAGGCAUUUUCCAUCAAAAGGGCCCAUAAUUCCGACAUUCGAAAAGACGGCCGCAAACGCAUACACAC